GUCGAGGUAAUUUAAUGGUUAGAAUAUUUGUCUCAUACACGAAAUGUGGUAGUUCGAUUCUACCCCUCGAUA